UACAGAGGUCUCGAGCGUUAGUCGGAAUCACUGGGCUUAAAGCGUACGUAGGCGGACAUGCGAGCGUCGUGUGAAAUCCCCCGGCCUCAACCGGGGAACUGCACGGCGAACCGCAUGUCUUGAGACAAGUAGGGGCUGUCGGAACGAUAGGUGGAGUGGUGAAAUGCGUUGAUAUCUAUCGGAACGCCGAAGGUGAAGACAGGCAGCUGGGCUUGUUCUGACGCUGAUGUACGAAAGCGUGGGUAGCGAACGGG
rnacentral:rRNA from 1 species